rnacentral:tRNA from 1 species
UAUUAAGUGGCUGAAAUUUAUAAGCAAUGGUCUCUUAAACCAAUAUAUAGUAAUAAUUACUCUUAAUAA